CCCUUAGAUGUCCUGGGCCGCACGCGCGUUACACUGAUGCAUUCAACGAGCUUAUAACCUUGGCCGAGAGGCCUGGGCAAUCUUGUUAACGUGCAUCGUGAUAGGGAUAGAUUAUUGAAAUUAUUAAUCUUCAACGAGGAAUUCCUAGUAAGCGCGAGUCAUCAGCUCGUGCUGAUUACGUCCCUGCCCUUUGUACACACCGCCCGUCGCUGCAACUGAUUGGGUGACCUGGUGAACAUCUUGGACCGGUCCACUCAAUUUCGAGAGGACUGGAAAAGGCCGUAAAUCAGGUACAUCUAGAAAUUGCAAAAGUCGUAACA
rnacentral:rRNA from 1 species